rnacentral:rRNA from 1 species
UACAGAGGGGGCAAGCGUUAUUCGGAAUUAUUGGGCGUAAAGAGCUCGUAGGCGGCUUGUCGCGUCGUCCGUGAAAACCUGGGGCUCAACCCCAGGCUUGCGGUCGAUACGGGCAGGCUCGAGUUCGGUAGGGGAGACUGGAAUUCCUGGUGGUAGCGGUGAAAUGCGCAGAUAUCAGGAGGAACACCGGUGGCGAAGGCGGGUCUCUGGGCCGAUACUGACGCUGAGGAGCGAAAGCGUGGGGAGCGAACAGG